CCGACAGUGAGAGGAGAGGGAUCAGAUGGACCAUGACUAUGACAGCAACAACAACACGGCUCCAGCUACAGCUCUGUUUUCAACUUGUGGCCAUCAAAACGCUCGUAGUGCACCCGGUUGGCACCAUAGCCAGUACACAGAGACAGCUGUCUACAAGACACACUCAGCAUGUCACAACAGCUGUCCUCACCUUCCUGUAGUCUGUCACCGCAUGCUGAGUGUAGUGGCCACAGAGUCAGGUGUUCACACGCCCCUCGCCCGUGCCUGAGGUAAGUCAGGAGAUGAGUGUCGUCACCAGCAGACAGGACGGUGGUGCUGCGCGUGUUUGUCACUAGACAGGAUGAACUAAUCACGUGAUAUUCACCUCUCUACAAACUCAUCCGUAGACAGCCUUUCAUUGAAGGUCAAGCACUCAGCAGAUGAUGAGUCAGCUUCAGUCGCCUGUCCAACAAAAUGCUUCGGUCUCUACAAGAACAUUUUACAAAUAUUUUAUGCAUCAAGUUUGAUGGCCUCAAGGUGAUACAAAGAUUAGGAUAGUGACAAACCACUGCUUUCCUGCUCUCCCGUGGGAUUGUGAUUACCGGUGAAAAAACGCCAACUGCAGUCGGAAACUUCAUAAAUUGCUGCACAUAAGACAGGUUAAUUUACACGAUACAUUUAUUUACCAACGUAUUUACUUGUUAUUAAAAAAAAUGCGAACCAUUUGAUACUCGUUUAAAAGUUCUCGUGGGGUGCAAUUGUUUAUGGUUGAAUAGGUCUUAGUGCACUGAUCAGAAUCAUGGAAGAUGACCAAAACCAUCAGUAACAAGCUUGACGUCUUCCAAAACAGAUGCCUCAUGUGCAUACUUAACAUCUUCUGGCCAAACACCAUCACCAACGAAGAACUCC